AAAGGAAGACAUGAUAACGUAUUUUUUAGUCACUACUCCAAGUCUCAUGCAAGGUAACCUACUUUUCCAUUUUGGAUCCCCGUUAUGUUGUUUUAAGUUGCUUUAUAGUAAAUUGUAGAAUUCUAGACUUGGUAGUAUUCAUUUUAAUAAAUUAUGUCCCUUAUGGAAUUUGUCGCAUUUGAUAUCUUGCCAACCUGAAUUUUUAUGGAUACCUUUGUCAUCUGCUUUUGAUGCCUAUGUGGUUGUUACCACCUAUUAUUAGAUGAACUUCCCCAGAAAUUACUUCUGUAUUCAGUUUCAUAUAAUUAUUGCUAGAUUUACUGGUGACUGUCAUAAUAAAUAAUGAUCUGGGAUCAUUGAGGUUAUGAUAAAAAUUGGCGACAUGAAGAGCUGUAUUAACUUUUAUGAGUUUUGUUGGUUCUUAUAAUAGUUGUAAAUGGACAAAAAGUUCUGCCAAUUUGUGCUAAGAAUGAAGCAUUAGGCUUAAGAACAUCUAUUCUAUUCAAAACAUUGGCUGGGGAGCAAUCUGAAAUGCCUGAAACUUUUGAGUUAGUUCAUUAUUUAUGUUGCCAUUUUCAUUUUAAACCGUAUUUCUUUGCUUGUGGACAUGUUCAUUUGUAUCUUUUCCAGAAUUGAAUCUGAGUCGCAAUUUAUUUCAAUCCCAUUACUAUUAUGUUUUUACCUUUAAAUAUUGUAAAGGUUUGUUACUUUUUGCAACAUGAUAAUUGGACAGAAACAAAUGAGAAAUGCCUUUACAUCUAAAUCUUCUCAAGUAUCUUGCUAUUGUUAAACCUUUGUAAUAGUGCCAAAAAGAUCUCAUUUCAGGUCAAGUCUGCAGAUUCAUAUGUUCAGCUGUGCAAAGAGUUAAUGGUGGCGGCUGACUAGCGUACAAUACUUCUGAUGGCACAAUAUAAGAAAUUUGUGCAGUUCAUGUGGAGGUUGGGCUAUCUCCAAGCGUCUUUUCGCCUGCUCGUUGCAGUACUCCGUGUAAGAAAUAUUUGAAGCUUUUUGUAGUGAAAAUUUCUUUAAAAAAACUUAAGAGGACCCAGGAAAAAAGAUUCAUAUAUUCACUAUGAAAUGCAGCUGAAAUGAUGUGGAGUUGAUCAGUGACUUUAGAUUGGAAGCUUUUUUUUUGGUGCUGUCAAAAUGGGAUUUCAAUCCAUUUUCACAAGCAACAAGAAUUUUGAAGGGCGGUGUUGUGGUCGACUACAGUUGGACAAAAAUUUGAGUUUUGAUGAACUGCUUAAACAGUGUUCACUGAUAGUGAGAAAUAAUUCUUCUAGCCUCUUUAAAGACUAAUAAAGACAACUAGUUAGAAUUAUUUUCCACUUUUCUUGUAUUGUGGGAUAUGUGAAAUCAUAAUAAUAAGGCUUUAUGGCUUCAAGGGGAAUGUAAAUGUAGACUUCCCAUGUCUAUAUAUUUAUCAACUUAUCACAGUUGCAUUGUGUACCUUUGUUGUGUG
rnacentral:lncRNA from 1 species